GACGAACGCUGGCGGCGUGCUUAACACAUGCAAGUCUAACGCUGAAGCUCAGCUUUUGUUGGGUGGAUGAGUGGCGAACGGGUGAGUAACACGUGAGUAACCUGCCUCCUUCUUUGGGAUAACGCCCGGAAACGGGUGCUAAUACUGGAUAUUCACUGGUCUUCGCAUGGGGGUUGGUGGAAAGGGUUUUUCUGGUGGGGGAUGGGCUCGCGGCCUAUCAGCUUGUUGGUGGGGUGAUGGCCUACCAAGGCUUUGACGGGUAGCCGGCCUGAGAGGGUGACCGGUCACAUUGGGACUGAGAUACGGCCCAGACUCCUACGGGAGGCAGCAGUGGGGAAUAUUGCACAAUGGGCGCAAGCCUGAUGCAGCGACGCCGCGUGAGGGAUGGAGGCCUUCGGGUUGUGAACCUCUUUCGCUCAUGGUCAAGCCGCAACAAUGGUUGUGGUGAGGGUAGUGGGUAAAGAAGCGCCGGCUAACUACGUG
rnacentral:rRNA from 1 species